UACAGAGGUGGCAAGCGUUGUUCGGAAUUACUGGGCGUAAAGGGCGCGUAGGUGACCUUUUGAGUCAGACGUGAAAUCCCCCGGCUUAACCUGGGAACUGCGUCUGAUACUGGAAGGCUUGAGUUCGGGAGAGGGAUGUGGAAUUCCAGGUGUAGCGGUGAAAUGCGUAGAUAUCUGGAGGAACACCGGUGGCGAAGGCGACUACCUGGCCUAAGACUGACGCUGAGGUGCGAAAGCGUGGGGAGCGAACAGG
rnacentral:rRNA from 1 species